UACGUAGGGUGCGAGCGUUAAUCGGAAUUACUGGGCGUAAAGUGUGCGCAGGCGCAAAGCAAGUCGAGUGUGAAAGCCCCCGGGCUUAACUUGGGAAUUGCGCUCGAAACUACUUUGCUGGAGUGUGGCAGAGGAAGGUGGAAUUCCACGUGUAGCGGUGGAAAUGACGUAGAGAUGUGGAGGAACACCAAUGGCGAAGGCGAGC
rnacentral:rRNA from 1 species